CUCUCUCUCUCUGCGCCGCGCUCUUAUAGGAUCCUUUGCUCUCUGUUUAGAAAUCGAAGGAAGUGACACUACACCUCUACAAACCGUUGGUCUGACCAAUUUUGUUUAUUGUAACUUGCUCAGAGGGCGUGAGCAUCACUGACCAGGCCCAACAUUUAUUGCCCAUCCCAGUGGGCAGCUAAUGAUUUCGGAUAUUGUGUUCAGUUCUGGGCACCUUAUUUAAGAAAGGACAUGAAAGAUCUAGAGAGAGAGAGAGUGCAAAGAUUAACUGGAAUUUUAGCUGCAUGGGAAGUUUGGAGACAUUGGGCUUAUACUCCUUGGAGCAGAGAAGAUGAAUAGGUGAUCUUUUUGAGGUGUUUCUACAGGGUAAAUUCUGCUUCCAUUAAUCGGUGAGGGUUCGCAGCUUCAAGCGUGCCAGAGAGAGAGCUAGGAGUGAGAUGAGGAGAAACUCCUUUGCUCGGAGAGUUGGUAGGAUUUGGAACGCGCUGCCCAGGAGAGUGGUGGGGGCUUGGAUUGUGCAGGAGGUUUCAGAGUGAGCUGUACAUACGUUUGUAAGCAACGAGUUUCGAGCGCUGCGGAGAGUGGGACGAGCUGGGCGGCUCUUUCAGGAGCCGGUACAGACACGGCGGGCAGAGUGGCCUCCCGUGACGCUCUGAUUCUGUAAGUGCGACCAUUCCCGACCUGACCCCCUGUUCCCAGUUGCGCCCCCCUUAGCCUCAACGACUUUGGAAAGCAGCCAAACAAAGCUUUUAGGGCGGUAAGUGCAUCGCCCUGAGAGUCUCCAAUCGAUUCUCGGAGAGGAUGGGUGGGGGGUUUGGUGGCGACGGUGGGGGUACUGUCUGGAAGUGGGAUUCCCAGUGGUCCGCAAUCCAGCCAGCGUAAUUCCGAUUUUGUCGCUAUCUCUGCAACACACUUUUUUUUUUCCUCCCCCUCGGUGUGUUUAUUCUUCAGAAUUGUAGCCACCUGAUCCAGACGAUAGAGGAUACAGGCACCAUUAUGAGGGAGGUGCGCGACUUGGAGGAGCAGAUCGAGUCGGAGGUGGGGAAGAAGACGGUGGGGAACCUGGAGAAGAUCCUGGCUGACAACAAAGCCAUCAAAGAGGAUAACAGCGUGCUGCAGGCCAAACUGAAAGAGUGCUGAUUCUGUGCUGGGGGGAGUUGGGGGAGCGGUGGGGAGGACACGGUGCCACGACCCCCCCACCGUCUUCGUUGGGGGCACCAGCCCGGCUGCCCCCCCCCCCCCCCCCCCCACAAGACGAGCCUCAAUGGCCCUCGCUCCGUCUUUUCAGUCGCUUUUUCUCCUCCCCGCCCACCUCCUGUUCCCUGUCGGUCUCUCGUUCCCUCCAUCUCGCUCUCGAUCGAUGUGUGUAACAGUCCCGAGACGGAACAAAAUAAAGUCCUCCUGAACUUGC